UGUGAUAACGUAAGGGAAAAUAAUGAUAUUACCUUACUAUUAGUGUCGUCCAAAACUGGUGCCAGAAGACUCGGUAAGGCCAGAGACGCAAACGUUAGUCGUCUUAAUCAGGCGUAAAGGGUUUGUAGGCUGCUUUGAAAAUUUUAUAUUUAAUAUAGCCAAAGUAAAUAUAAGAUGAAUUAAAGCUAGAAUCAAAUAGAGGUUAUAUUGAAUAAUACUUAGAGGAGGGAUUAAAUCCUUAGAUCCUAAGGGGAAUACUAAAGGCGAAAGCUUUUUUUCCACUAAUGAUUGACGCUGAGAAACGAAGGUGAGGAUAGGAAAUAGGAUUAGAUACCCCGGUACCCCUCUCUGUCAACGAUGAAUGGUAGUUAUUAGUUUAAUAAGAUUAGUGACGAUGUUAACACGAUAACCAUUCCGCCUUGUGAGUACGAUUGCAAAAUUGAAAACAAAAAAAUUAGUCGGUCUCGGAGCAAACGAAGUGAAGCAUGUUA
rnacentral:rRNA from 1 species